AUACGGAGGAUGCAAGCGUUAUCCGGAUUUAUUGGGUUUAAAGGGUGCGUAGGCGGUUUGCUAAGCGGGAGGUGAAAUGCCGGCGCUCAAAGUCGGAAGUGCCUCCCGAACUGGUGGACUUGAAUGACUCUGCCGUGGGAGGAAUGUGUAGUGUAGCGGUGAAAUGCUUAGAGAUUACACAGAACACCGAUUGCGAAGGCAUCUCACGAAGGGUUGAUUGACGCUGGGGCACGAAGGCGUGGGGAUCAAACAGGAUUAGAUACCCUGGUAGUCCACGCUGUAAACGAUGAUUACUGGCUGUUUGCGAUACACAGUAAGCGGCCCAGCGAAAGCGUUAAGUAAUCCACCUGGGGAGUACGUUCGCAAGAAUGAAACUCAAAUGAAUUGACGGGG
rnacentral:rRNA from 1 species